rnacentral:rRNA from 1 species
ACUCAAUAGAUACCCUGGUAGUCCUGGCAGUAAACGGUGCGCGUUUGGUGUGGGAGGAUUCGACCCUUCUGUGCCGGAGCUAAACGCGUUAAACGCGCCGCCUGGGGAGUACGGUCGCAAGAUUAAAACUCAAAGAAAUUGACGGGGGCCCGCACAAGCGGUGGAGUAUGUGGCUUAAUUCGAUGCAACGCGAAGAACCUUACCUAGCCUUGACAUGCAUCUCUAAGUCGGUGAAAGCCGGCGAGUGUAGCAAUACGCAAUUUGCACAGGUGCUGCAUGGCUGUCGUCAGCUCGUGUCGUGAGAUGUUGGGUUU